UCAGUUGGCAGAGAAGGAUAUUUCUCUCUGGAAUAUCUGUUGGUGGAAGCAUGCUCAGACCCACUUGGUGAUUCUGGUCUACAGAAAGUUAUUAGUCACCUCCGAAGGAGAAAAGAAAAUAGCAGAAACAGAGAUAUCUUUGUUGAAACAA